rnacentral:rRNA from 1 species
GAUGAACGCUGGCGGCGUGCUUAAUACAUGCAAGUCGAGCGGACAGACGAUGAUUUUGCUCCUUUGACGUUAGCGGCGGACGGGUGAGUAACACGUGGAUAACCCACCUAUAAGACUGGGAAAUUUACGGAAAACCGGAUCUAAUCCGGUAUAAUAUCUUGAUCCGAUUGGUUCAAUGGAAAAUGACGGUUUUGCUGUCAUUAAUAGCGGCUUCCGAGCUGCAUUGGUUCGUUGGUAGGGUCCAGGCUUACCAAGGCAACGAUGCGUAGCCGACCUGAGAGGGUGAUCGGCCACACUGGAGCUGAGACACGGUCCAGACGCCUACGAGAGGCAGCAGUAGGGAAUCUUCCGCAAUAGGCGAAAGCAUGACGGAGCAAGGCCGAGUGAGUGAUGAAGGUCUUCGGAUCGUGAUGAUCUGUUAUUAGGGAAGAACAAAUGUGGCAGUAACUGAGGACGUAUUGACGGUACCUAAUAAGAAAGCCACGGCUAACUACGUG